rnacentral:pre_miRNA from 1 species
UCUUCAUUCCAUGUGCUCUCUCACCGGUCAGGCUGACGAGAGAGUGCGUGAAAUGAUGAGA